rnacentral:rRNA from 1 species
GACGAACGCUGGCGGCGUGCCUAAUACAUGCAAGUCGAGCGGAUGACGGAGGAGCUUGCUCCUCUAGAUUCAGCGGCGGACGGGUGAGUAACACGUGGGCAACCUGCCCUGUAGAUUGGGAUAACUCCGGGAAACCGGGGCUAAUACCGAAUAAUCCUUCGGACCUCAUGGUCCGAUGUAGAAAGACGGCAUCUCGCUGUCACUACAGGAUGGGCCCGCGGCGCAUUAGCUAGUUGGUGAGGUAACGGCUCACCAAGGCCACGAUGCGUAGCCGACCUGAGAGGGUGAGCGGCCACACUGGGACUGAGACACGGCCCAGACUCCUACGGGAGGCAGCAGUAGGGAAUCUUCCACAAUGGACGAAAGUCUGAUGGAGCAACGCCGCGUGAGUGAAGAAGGUUCUCGGAUCGUAAAACUCUGUUGUGAGGGAAGAACAAGUACCGGAGUAACUGCCGGUGCCUUGACGGUACCUCAUUAGAAAGCCACGGCUAACUACGUGCCAGCAGCCGCCGUAAGAC